rnacentral:rRNA from 1 species
GACGAACGCUGGCGGCGUGCCUAAUACAUGCAAGUAGGACGCAGUUGCGAAAGGGGGAGUAACGCGUAGGUAACUGCCUAUUAAAGGGGGAUAACUAUUGGAAACGAUAGCUAAUACCGCAUACUAGUAGAUGGACAUGCGUUGUAUUAGCUAGUAGGUAGGGUAACGGCCUACCUAGGCGACGAUACAUAGCCGACCGUGCAGGGAGAUCGGCCACACUCGGAUUGUGAGCCCCAUCAGAAUCCUAGCGGGGUGAGCAGUAGGGAAAUUUCGGCAAUGGGGGGAAACCGGACUGAGCAACGCCGCGUGAUUGAACAAGGUUUUCGGAUCGUAAAGCUCUGUUGUUAAGGAAGCGGUACUCAACCAGAAAGGGCCGGCUAACUACGUGCCAGCAGCCGCGGUAAUUC